rnacentral:rRNA from 1 species
AUUGAACGCUGGCGGCAGGCCUAACACAUGCAAGUCGAACGGUAACAGGAAAAAGCUUGCUUCUUUGCUGACGAGUGGCGGACGGGUGAGUAAUGUCUGGGAAACUGCCUGAUGGAGGGGGAUAACUACUGGAAACGGUAGCUAAUACCGCAUAACGUCGCAAGACCAAAGAGGGGGACCUUCGGGCCUCUUGCCAUCGGAUGUGCCCAGAUGGGAUUAGCUAGUAGGUGGGGUAACGGCUCACCUAGGCGACGAUCCCUAGCUGGUCUGAGAGGAUGACCAGCCACACUGGAACUGAGACACGGUCCAGACUCCUACGGGAGGCAGCAGUGGGGAAUAUUGCACAAUGGGCGCAAGCCUGAUGCAGCCAUGCCGCGUGUAUGAAGAAGGCCUUCGGGUUGUAAAGUACUUUCAGCGGGGAGGAAGGGAGUAAAGUUAAUACCUUUGCUCAUUGACGUUACCCGCAGAAGAAGCACCGGCUAACUCCGUG